UAGGAACACGUUAAAAGAAAGCUUCCCCCUUUCCCUGACGCCAUUACAGUUCCAAAAGUUGAUAGUGUUGGUCGGACGUCGCCUUGAUUCCUGAAAAUUAUCGAAUAUUCCGGAAAAGGAUCAACUGACAAGUGCACUUCAAUCAUUUACAAGACGACUAGUUUGUCGAUGCGGAGCGGAGAGAAGAGCCAGGCGUUCAUCAACAACGACGACGGUAUACGACCGAGGAACUUUCCCGUUGGAUCCAGCGCUUUACCAAAGCGAAAAUUGCGUCGCGGAAGCAGCACGACUUGCGACGAGAGGUUUUACUUCACAAUGCCUUUAUUUUCGCCCAGUCUGAGGUCAAAUGCCGACAAGUGGAACGCCAAAAGAGGUGGAAGGAAUUGAAGCCGUUGCUGUUCUUGGAGACGUCAUCCACUUUCGGUGAGCAGGAACCAAACAAAAUGGCGGCCUUCCCCAAAAUGGCGGACGGCGUGCAGCAGCAAAUGGAGACUACUGAAGAAGAAAUGGACAUGGAGAGGCCAUCUACCCCACUUCCUAGCGUGACGGGAGCUACCAAACGUCAUCGUUGCGGUUGCUUGCCUCUAACCAGAUGUGAAUGCGGUAGUGAAGAUUCCAGCAGCAGCAGCAGCCAGGCCAACAAGAAAUUCCGCCCCUCGUCGCUUGAUGAAGAUGAUGAUCUGAAGAGUUUGGACCGUUUCCUUUCGUCUCUACACUGUAAUACGCGUCAAGUUGUUGACUGGGAGAACAUCAUCGUCUACCAAAUGUGCCCAACUGAUUGAGACGUUGGUGAUUUCCAGCACCUUUUCAACCUUUCUGAACUGAGAGAACAUGGGACACUUGAUGCUGAUCAGGUAGUUGAUACUCCAUGAUUGAGGUUGGUUGAACAACAGAAAAACCAAAUUGCUCAGCUCCAACAAAAAUCUGCAUAACUAGUGUUGGUUCAUAUUGAAUCAUUGAUUUUAAUAUUGUGGAAACUUUCCAUGUACAAAAUGACUUGCAACUUCUGGUACUCAAUAUAAUGAAUUUUUCCCGUCCUACGGUGAUUGAGCCCUGUGUGAUUGAGACCUUAUCUUCGGGAACAGCCGGAAAUUUCAUCUUUCAAUAUCUCACGUCGGUAUUACUUUCCUUUGUGGUUUAGUGCUCCUGAGCCUUGGCUUCAUCAAAACAAGAGACUGGUCUUUCCGAGAUUUUUCCUAGUCGGACACUUUCUCCCCAUGCCCAUGCAUGUCCAUUGGAGACGCUUCUGAUUCUUAAAAGGUUACGAAGUUCCUGAUGGUCAAAUCCGUUUUUGUUUUUCUCUUUCCUCGCAGUCGUGAAAUUCAUCGCCUGUUUACAGAUCGUCUGGUUACCCCAACCCUGGGUGAGAUUGAUGACUGGGGGAGGGUUAAAAUUCAUGCAUUCUUUCCUUUUGUCAAUUCAGGCCAUAUACCCAGACAUGGGUUCGGGGCCUUCGGGCUAUGAUGGAAUGUUUCUCUCUUCCCAUCCAGUCGGUUCAACAACAUUGCCUUCCAUUCCGUUUUAAACUUAGCCAAAUUGGAAGAUCCUCCGGGUCCAUAUACGUUCUUCACAAUGUUUUGGAAGUCGCUCGGCCGGUUUAGGAUUCCCCGUUUUCUCCCAGAAAAUUCAAGAACUACGCAUUCGUGAAUUUUUCGUUGUAUUGCCAUUGAUCAUUAUUGAAAUGAUCGGAAUAACAAAUUAUUCGAACGUGCCAACUGGCAUUGAAUGUGAUCUUUUAUUCAGGGGAGAUAGCGACCUAUUUCAACGGAAUUGUUGAAGCGAUAAGGUGACUGGUUAUGUUUUGAAACCGCAAUCCUGCUCGGUCUUGCUGAGGCGUGUACUUCAUAGAAGGACAACUGUAUUACGAAGUGACAAUGUUAAAAAUGUUGACGAAUUUUCCCUUGUACGCGCCACCUCAUGACGAAGAUGAAUCAUUUCGAGGCGAUUCGCCCUAUAUGCUAAUAAGCGUUGGAUAUUUCGGUUCUUCAACUGCUUCUUGAACAAAAAUGGAAAUUCGCAAUACAUCAAACGUGAAAAGAUCUCAACUGAUAUACUAAAAAAUUCUAAUUUUGCAUUCCCUAAUAUAGUUACUGGUUGUAAACCUGCCGAACGAAUUAUGUUUGAUAACAUAUAAAAUUAAGUUACUCUUAUCAGGUUACGCCUUUUGGAAGAUUGGUAAAGGUAUUUAGGACAAUGUUGAUAACUGGCAUGGUUUUUAAAAACAUUCAUUAACUUCUAUUAUCCUACAUAAUUAUUGAUAAAUCUCAGGGUUCGAACUUACAAAACAAAUUCGCUCAACGAUUGGAGGCAGUUUGGGCGGAUAAAUGAGACAAUUCUUGAAUAGAGGUCUGUGGGUAGUUCCAAACCAGCGAGUUAUUCGGGCCCUGGUGGAAAUCUUUAACGAUUUCGUGAUACGGUCUAACUUCAUUGAUCACCUUUGUGUUUCUAAAUCUGUUGAAAAUAAUAAAAUGCACGUGAGUUAUGGAAAUGAAAAGAAAUAAAAAUGUUUCUUUUUA
rnacentral:misc_RNA from 1 species